GGUUGAAUUUGGAUGGCUUCCCUUCAAACCCCAACAGCUCAAAGGAGUCCUUAUCCAGAGACAGACACAGGCGACCUGAGGACAUACAGACAGGUGAGCUGAGGACAGACAGACAGGUGAGCUGAGGACAGACAGACAGGUGAGCUGAGGACAGACAGACAGGUGAGCUGAGGACAGACAGACAGCCGAGCUGAGGACAGACAGACAGCCGAGCUGAGGACAGACAGACAGGUGAGCUGAGGACAGACAGACAGGUGAGCUGAGGACAGACAGACAGGUGAGCUGAGGACAGACAGACAGCCGAGCUGAGGACAGACAGACAGCCGAGCUGAGGACAGACAGACAGGUGAGCUGAGGACAGACAGACAGGUGAGCUGAGGACAGACAGACAGGUGAGCUGAGGACAUACAGACAGGUGAGCUGAGGACAGACAGACAGGUGAGCUGAGGACAGACAGACAGGUGAGCUGAGGACAUACAGACAGGUGAGCUGAGGACAGACAGACAGGUGAGCUGAGGACAGACAGACAGGUGAGCUGAGGACAGACAGACAGGUGAGCUGAGGACAGACAGACAGGUGAGCUGAGGACAGACAGACAGCCGAGCUGAGGACAGACAGACAGGUGAGCUGAGGACAGACAGACAGCCGAGCUGAGGACAGACAGACAGGUGAGCUGAGGACAGACAGACAGCCGAGCUGAGGACAGACAGACAGGUGAGCUGGAGAAGAUCAG